UACGGGGGGGGCAAGCGUUGUUCGGAAUUACUGGGCGGAAAGGGCUCGUAGGCGGCCAACUAAGUCGGAUGUGAAAUCCCCAGGCUCAACCUGGGAACUGCAUCCGAUACUGGAUGGCUUGAAUUCGGGAGAGGGAUGCAGAAUUCCAGGUGUAGCGGUGAAAUGCGUAGAUAUCUGGAGGAAUACCGGUGGCGAAGGCGGCAUCCUGGACCGACAUUGACGCUGAUGAGCGAAAGCUAGGGGAGCAAACGGG
rnacentral:rRNA from 1 species